CAUACCGAAGCAGCUAAACGAACAGACUUUAUGAUGCUCAAGGAAGAACGUUAUUGAAAUCUCUUGUUAAAAUCAACACGUGACACGUGCCAAACGGACGAAGCUUCGUAGAGGACUACCACACUCCUCGGCUCCGCGUACCUCAUCUUGCAACGAUGAAUCUGAUUGGUCGAAAUGAGAGGACGCCAUGAUAGGACGACCAAUCACAGCCAUUGUUAAAAACUCCAAAUUGCUCAGAAACUCUACCAUUAAAAUAACGAAAAGACACGUGCCAAACGGACGAAGCUUCGUAGAGGACUACCACACUCCUCGGCUCCGCGUACCUCAUCCUGCAACGAUGAAUCUGAUUGGUCGAAAUGAGAGGACGCCAUAAUAGGACGACCAAUCACAGCCAUUGUUAAAAACUCCGAAUUGCUCAGAAACUCUACCAUUAAAAUAACGAAAAGACACGUGAAAGGCGAACGAAACCUCGG